GAUGAACGCUGGCGGCGUGCCUAAUACAUGCAAGUCGAGCGAACGGACGAGAAGCUUGCUUCUCUGAUGUUAGCGGCGGACGGGUGAGUAACACGUGGAUAACCUACCUAUAAGACUGGGAUAACUUCGGGAAACCGGAGCUAAUACCGGAUAAUAUUUUGAACCGCAUGGCUCAAAAGUGAAAGACGGUCUUGCUGUCACUUAUAGAUGGAUCCGCGCUGCAUUAGCUAGUUGGUAAGGUAACGGCUUACCAAGGCAACGAUGCAUAGCCGACCUGAGAGGGUGAUCCGCCACACCGGAACCGAGACACGGUCCAGACUCCUACGGGAGGCAACAGUUGGGAAUCUUCCGCAAUUGGCGAAAGCCUUACGGGGCAACGCCGCGUGAGUGAUGAAGGUCUUCCGAUCGUAAAACUCUGUUAUUAGGGAAGAACAUAUGUGUAAGUAACUGUGCACAUCUUGACGGUACCUAAUCAGAAAGCCACGGCUAACUACGUG
rnacentral:rRNA from 1 species